GCUUACGGCCAUACCAACUUAGGCACGCCCGAUCUCGUCUGAUCUCGGAAGCUAAGCAGGGUCGGGCCUGGUUAGUACUUGCAUGGGUGACCGCCUGGGAAUACCAGGUGCUGUAAGCA
ensembl:rRNA 5S_rRNA 5S ribosomal RNA